AGGGGCGUAGCCAAGUGGUAAGGCCCCGUGUUUUGAUCUCGGCAUCAGUUGGUUCGAAUCCAGCCGCCCCUGCCA
rnacentral:tRNA from 1 species